rnacentral:rRNA from 1 species
UGGGGGAUAUUGCACAAUGGGCGAAAGCCUGAUGCAGCGACGCCGCGUGGGGGAUGAAGGCUUUCGGGUUGUAAACCUCUUUCGCUAUCGAACAAGGCCCGCUUAGGGUGGGUUGAGGGUAGGUGGAGAAGAAGCGCCGGCUAACUACGUGCCAGCAGCCGCGGUAAUACGUAGGGCGCGAGCGUGGUCCGGGGUUAUUGGGCGUAAAGGGCUUGUAGGCGGGUUGUUGCGCCUGCUGUGAAAACGCGGGGCUUAACUUCGCGCGUGCAGUGGGUACGGGCAGGCUUGAGUGUGGUAGGGGUGACUGGAAUUCCAGGUGUAGCGGUGGAAUGCGCAGAUAUCUGGAGGAACACCGAUGGCGAAGGCAGGGCACUGGGCCAUUACUGACGCUGAGGAGCGAAAGCAUGGGUAGCGAACAGG